rnacentral:rRNA from 1 species
AUUGAACGCUGGCGGCAGGCCUAACACAUGCAAGUCGAACGGUAACAGGAAGAAGCUUGCUUCUUUGCUGACGAGUGGCGGACGGGUGAGUAAUGUCUGGGAAACUGCCUGAUGGAGGGGGAUAACUACUGGAAACGGUAGCUAAUACCGCAUAACGUCGCAAGACCAAAAAGGGGGACCUUCUGGCCUCUUGCCAUCGGAUGUGCCCAGAUGGGAUUAGCUAGUAGGUGGGGUAACGGCUCACCUAGGCGACGAUCCCUAGCUGGUCUGAGAGGAUGACCAGCCACACUGGAACUGAGACACGGUCCAGACUCCUACGGGAGGCAGCAGUGGGGAAUAUUGCACAAUGGGCGCAAGCCUGAUGCAGCCAUGCCGCGUGUAUGAAGAAGGCCUUCGGGUUGUAAAGUACUUUCGGCGGGGAGGAAGGGAAUAAAGUUAAUACCUUUGCUCAUUGACGUUACCCGAAGAAGAAGCACCGGCUAACUCCGUG